rnacentral:lncRNA from 1 species
GCUGGGGCUGGCCUUCCGGAUGCAUGCGACCUAAACCUGCCGGCCCAAGGCAAAUCAGCCUGGGUGCUUCGCCGCGCGACAGCAUACCCCCUGGGGCUGGCCUUCCGGAUGCAUGCGACCUAAACCUGCCGGCCCAAGGCAAAUCAGCCUGGGUGCUUCGUUGCGCGACAGCAUACCCCCUGGGGCUGGCCUUCCGGAUGCAUGCGACUAAACCUGCCGGCCCAAGGCAAAUCAGCCUGGGUGCUUCGCCGCGCGAGAGCAUACCCCCUGGGGCUGGCCUUCCGGAUGCAUGCGACCUAAACCUGCCGGCCCAAGGCAAAUCAGCCUGGGUGCUUCGCUGCGCGACAGCAUACCCCCUGGGGCUGGCCUUCCGGAUGCAUGCGACCUAAACCUGCCGGCCCAAGGCAAAUCAGCCUGGGUGCUUCGCUGCGCGACAGCAUACCCCCUGGGGCUGGCCUUCCGGAUGCAUGCGACUAAACCUGCCGGCCCAAGGCAAAUCAGCCUGGGUGCUUCGCUGCGCGACAGCAUACCCGCUGGGGCUGGCCUUCCGGAUGCAUGCGACCUAAACCUGCCGGCCCAAGGCAAAUCAGCCUGGGUGCUUCGCCGCGCGACAGCAUACCCGCUGGGGCUGGCCUUCCGGAUAGAAUGCAGCUCCACACGGUAGCUCGGGCCUUCACGAGACCUCCUUCGGAAAAACCUACAGGCUAUGGUUACUUUUGGGCAUUUGCUCCUGCCGAAGUGUGAAGCCGACGACUAGGUGCCUCUUUUCCCCGGGCGUGGCCCCCAGUGGGCGUGCCCCUGCCUAGGCGCUAUUGCGGGCUUUUGGCUGCUUUCAGGACAGGGACCCGUUGGG